CUCGUAGGCGGUUUGUCGCGUCGGGAGUGAAAACCACGGGCUUAACUCAUGGCUUGCUUCCGAUACGGGCAGACUAGAGGCAUGCAGGGGAGAACGGAAUUCCUGGUGUAGCGGUGAAAUGCGCAGAUAUCAGGAGGAACACCGGUGGCGAAGACGGUUCUCUGGGCAUGUCCUGACGCUGAGGAGCGAAAGUGUGGGGAGCGAACA
rnacentral:rRNA from 1 species